CUUCAAAGAUCCCUUUGUCAUUCCAUUGGGAAAAGAAAAGAUCGCAGAUGCAAGAAGAAAGGAAUUAGCAAAGGAUACUAAAAGUGACCACUUGACAGUUGUCAAUGCAUUUGAGGGCUGGGAAGAAGCUAGGCAACGUGGUUUCCGAUAUGAAAAGGACUAUUGCUGGGAAUAUUUUCUUUCUUCAAACACACUACAG